rnacentral:lncRNA from 1 species
AUGAGGGAAGAAUAUAAUAAUAGGGAAUGGCUACGAUUCAGUCACCUAAGAUUCAGUUCUGUUCAAUUUUUGUUCAAAGAAAAUACUUAAAAACUUUUUUUUAAUUUGUUUUAAGGAACCUCUAAUAUAAAAAAAAUUAAUGUCUUUUUGCGGCCCUCAAAAUCACGUUUAUAUACAUUUUUUAAUUAUAUAAAAAAAAAUCCAAUUUUGAACGGAUUCACCAUAAAAUAAAAUAAAAUAUUAAAACGUGAUUUCAAAAGCUACAAAAAGGUAGUGAGAUGUAUUUUAGUUUAUUUUUAGGUUUCGUUUAAACGCUUAAUAUUGUUUAAAAAAAGUUACAUUUAAACGCUUAAUACGAGUUAUCAUCAUAAACGUUACCAAUUAUAUUGGUCAAGUAAUUUGAUUCAAGUAGUUAAUUAAUAAGCUCUAUUAAAGAAGAAUGAUUUAGAAGAAUCUAAGCUUCGUAUUAUGGAAGAAUAAUUAUAGAUCAGAUUUUACGUAACUCUCGAGUGAACUUCAGAUUACUAGAGUUUCCUUCUUAUAUGAACAAAAGAGUUAACAUAAUAUUUUUUUUACAAUUAUAAUGAAUAUUAUUGAAUUAUUCUAAUCCAAAUGUGAUGUUUUUUUUCCUAGGUCUUUUCCCAUUCAUGUCUUCUUCUUGUUAACAGUACUUUGUCUCAAAUGAUUUGCUUGGCAAUAGAAUAAGCAAGGGGUAAUUUGGUUAGAUGAAACAAUUAGCAAUUAUGGAUGACUAUUGGUGACUUGCAAGCAAAUAUACAAUGAUUUACUUUUGUCUAGAUCAUAGCAAUCGUUUCAAAACAGAAUAGCUAGAAGACCGUGGAAUUUGAAGCUACGUUAGUCUCUCUUUAUACAAGUUCAUGAAUAUAUAUCAUGGAUAGAUCUCCCCCCGUCAAGUAAGUUAAUUGUAAACGAAUACGUUUUUGAAUUUUAAACGAUGACUAUUGACUAAGAGUAAGAACUAAGAACACAAGUUGGAAUUUUAAACAAUGUCUACACUGCAAUUGAGUACUUGGAAUUGGAUCUCACACCAUCCUAUAAAAUGUUACGAGUCAAAAAUUUCUUGACGACUU